CGCUGCGCCGCGCAGGGCACCGAUAGCGGCAGGAGUGCGGGUGAGCCGCUGCGGGCGGGCGAGGGCACCGCCCCCGGGGCCCCGGGCGCGCCCUCCUUCAUCAUCAACGUGCUGCAGAACAUCAACGCGGUGCAGCAACAGACUAACGUCACGCUCUGAGCGUCACCGUCCAACGUCUCGUCACAUUGCUCAAGUUUUAAUCAUCUCGACAACUUUUCCGCAACAGCGAUUGACUUCAAGUCUAUUUUUAAUAAAAUUUACAAUUUUCAGAAAAAUUUACACGAAAACUGGAGAUAUUAUUUUGGAGUCAGUCAAAUGCGAAUUAUGUAGAAUGAGUUAAGCAAAUAUUUUGGGCUACCUAUCAGACUCGGUCAUCGUACAAAAUUAGCUGCUUUGUUUGUUGUUAGGUGCUGUGCAAUUAUUACGUCAUCGAGAUUAUAAGCAUUUACUAGUGCUUAGUGCGGAGUGUAACAUAGGUUAGUGGUAUUAUGAAUUUUUUCUUAAGUUUUGUACGUUUUACAUGACAUACUGUUUGCAUUUAAAGUAUUCUUUUGCCAAUGUUAUGUUGGAGUGACAGAACACUCAUUUGAUAUGUAAGUCUCGAUACAUGUUUAUUGUUUACUCAAAAGUUAUUACUCUUAUUUAAAACUAGUUAGUUUAAGUAACAUUAUAUUUUGGUACAAUGGAGGCUUAUUCAAACGGAAUACUUGCUGUUGUAAGUUUAGGUAAUCGUACAUACACAUAUUUAAAAAAAAAAAUUAGCAAUUCAAAUUAUGUUAAGUCACAACCGUUUGAAAAACCCAUUGUACAAUGUAAUGUUUAUAUAAAUUUUGUAUUCUUUGUUACUAUUAGAUUUAAUUAUGUUUAAAAAAUGCUCAAAUCUUGCUGAUGAUUAAAUACUUGUUAAUAAAUUGCACAUUUGAUGAAGAAAGUUCUAUAAAGAACAAUUUGUAAAUAUAAUCAAAAGUAAGAAAUGUACGCCAUAAUCGUAAAACCAAAUUGAUAACAACAAUUUUACAUUUCAUAAGUACUCAGUUUUAUUGCUUAAUAUUUUGAAUAAUUCUAAUUUGUAUAGAAAGGAGUGAGUCGCAAAAUACUAAUUUUAAUUUUUAAUUUCGCAACGAAACCAUUUUGAUUUGUUUUUUGUUAAGUAUUACGAAUAAUUGGUAACUCAUUUAAAUUCUAAUCAUUUCAAUUGAACCAUUUGAAGUGAAAAAGAACUGCAAAUGUAGUAUUUAGGUGGCAAGAAAUAAAAAUAUAAGUUUUGAGGAAGUGCACUUGUUAAAUUUUGUAUCACUUUUAAGAGCAGUGCCAUACAAUAGCAAUAACUGUAUGUGGUAAUCAAUUUAUAUCACAAGAUUAUGAUGUAAUGUUAUUUUUUAAGAUUGCUCAUAGACUGAUAUCCUUCUUAGUGUGCCUUAUUACUUACUAGAUGGUCACUUAUUUACAUUUCUUUCUUGAGAAAUAUAUCAAUUAUAAUAACUUUAUAAUUUUUAUAGAAACCACAAUAAGUACUUGGAGAACAGUCGAAAUAAUGUUUUUUAGCUUUUUGAUGUACAAUUUUACUUUGUUUCAAAAAUUACAAACACUAGUUUUAAGGUUCGCAUGUGAUUUAUAACAAUAUUUUAGUGUUAAAUAUAUUUUUAUUAUUUUAUACUAAGCGCAACUAUUGAUCUUAAAGACAGACAAGUGAGAGUUACAUUAUAUGUUUGAAAUCUGAGACAGAUCUGAAAUGUAUGUAUUUUAAUGGUUACUUUCAAUUACUUAACUGUUUGUGAUUUUUCGAACAUACAAUUUAGUAUUGUGACAUAAUUUAUUUUGCAUUUUAUGUCAAGGUUGUAUCUUAAGUAGCCGAAGUUACAAAAAGAUGUAGUGGAAAGCAUAUGUGAAAAACAAAAUUUUAAAAGUAUAAUAUGUAUUAAUAAAUAUUUAAGUUAUGAAAGGUUCAUCCUGUAUUCAGAGAUUUUAUGCAUCUUACGGCAAUUAUAACGGUGUUUUACUUCUCGUAAGUGUAAUUUUUGUCUUCCUAAAUUUACAAAAAAUUUGAAAAGUGUAUCUUAUAACAUAUAUUAUAAGUUUCGAUAAUAAUUAUAGACUGCAUGCAGGUAAACAUAUUUUUUUUAAAAUAAUAAUUAGCAUAAUGCUAUGCCAUUAGUAAAUAGCGCCUUCCUAGUGUUAUUGGUGCCUCUCUUUUAAAUUUUCUCUAAUCAGCAAUUCAUGUUAAUUUAAAGUUGAGGCUCAAUAAAACUUCAUAGACAUUUAUUUACAAUAAUUGUAUCGAUUGCGGUUACGAGGUGCUUCGUUCAACUAAUUAAUAUAUGAUCUCGUAUGCUAAGACCAGUAAUAUUUUUUUUACAAAAACAAUUAAAUAAACUAUCGGCCCUUAUGCGGUUUCGUAGGUACUUCUUUUUGAUUUUUAUCACGGUCGUAAAUUCGUAAUACAUAUUUUGUUAAAAUUUCAUGUGUUCGGUUCCAAAGAUGCGUGUGACAGACCGACAACGGUGUCUUUGUAAUAGGUGAUACACCAUUUUGUAACAACUUAACAAAAUAUGAAAAUCCUAUGCUAAUUAAUAUUAAAAUCAAUAAAUUAUUUAUGAAACUUUAUAAAUUAUAUGGAUAUGACUUAUUUUUUACGAAUGAAGUUACUUGAGCCACGAAAUUCAGAAGCUAUAAAUUAAUUUUGUUUAAUACGAUACGAUCACGAUGACUGUAUGACUUUAACUUAUGAUGGUUAAAUGACAAACAUUUUCAAGUGAAAUAAUAAAUUCGUUAGAAAAUUAAUUAAAUUUGUAACAUUAAUUCUCGGGGGCUUAAUAUUUGUUUUAAUGGUAUUUUUUAUGGCCUUUCUUUGAUAAAAUUUAUUUUUAGAUAUUUUCAACAUUAAUAGAAAUGAUAACUAUAUUAUUCAUAUUUUUUAAAUUGAAAACUCAUAUUAUAAUGUAAUUGUUUUAAAUGAUAUAUAGUUAGUAACGCAACAAGAACGAUUCUUCGAUUAAUGAUAAUUGUAUGAUUGUAAAUGAAUACGGUAUGAACUAAAAAUUUUCAGUAUUUGAUACAAAAGUACAUUUAUUACGAUUUAAAAAUACGUAAACUAUAUGAGAAACGAGUGCCUCAACGCAAUGAACUGUCUGUGAUGUACUUAAUUAAAUCGUUGUUGUUUAUAUUGUUUUAGUGUUAAGGAUAUUUUAAUGUAAAAGGAAUCCUUAGUGGUCGGUGUAAGUUAUGAGCGAGGGCAUUGUCUCUAGUCACGGCUCAGUAAAAAGAUGAAUGUAUUGCCUUGUAAGGAUUGUUUUUUUACAAAUAAAACGAUAUUUCAAUUCACACUUUGGUUUCAUUUUAUUUUCAUAUCUAAGUUAAGAGCAAAAAUAGUAAUAGCAUUCACAAAAUUAGUGAUAUUCGAGUGAUUUUUGGUGUAUUAUCAUGAAAAAUCGUAAAUAAUAAUAACUAUAAUCACUGAAUAAUCUAUAACGCAGUGCUUUUACGUGCAAAAAGAUCUGUCGCGUAUAUCUCGACCAGUGUAGUAGUCGGCAGCGGUCAGAGGUCGAGCGGCGCGACGAAGAGCGCGAGCGCGUGCAGCUGCGCCCGCGGCGGCGCCAGGCCGGCGUGCAGCGGCGCGCGC
rnacentral:misc_RNA from 1 species